GAUAGUGCAGUGAGGAGAUUAGAGGAGGUCUAAUACAUAUCCGAUUUUAGACGAAAUCUUAUCUCACUGAGCAGACUGGAUUUGAGAGGCUACAAGAUGGUAGCUGGUGGAGAAAUCUUGAAGGUGUUGUAUGGUGAUAGGAUUAUUCUAGAGAGAAAGAAGAGGACUAGAGGACAUUACUACCUGAUGGAGUGCCCAGU
rnacentral:lncRNA from 1 species